rnacentral:rRNA from 1 species
GAAGAAGUGAAUUAAGGGCAUUUGGUGGAUGCCUUGGCAUGCACAGGCGAAGAAGGACGUGAUACGCUGCGAAAAGCCGUGGGGAGCUGCGAAUAAGCUUUGAUCCAUGGAUCUCCGAAUGGGGCAACCCACCUUAAAUGCUUGGAAAAUCCAGUCUGUUUUAACGAACGGCCUGGGUUUCCAAGCAUUGUGAUAAGGUAUCUUACUUUCGAAUACAUAGGGGUAAGAAGCGAACGCAGGGAACUGAAACAUCUAAGUACCUGCAGGAAAGGACAUCAACCGAGACUCCGCAAGUAGUGGCGAGCGAACGCGGACCAGGCCAGUGGCAAUGAUGAAUAAAGCGGAACGAUUUGGAAAAGUCGGCCAUAGAGGGUGAUAGCCCCUUACGCGUAGAACAGUCAUUGUCCUUGAGUAGGGCGGGACACGUGAAAUCCUGUCUGAACAUGGGGAGACCACUCUCCAAGCCUAAGUACUCGUGCAUGACCGAUAGCGAACAAGUACCGUGAGGGAAAGGUGAAAAGCACCCCGACGAGGGGAGUGAAAUAGAACCUGAAACCGGAUGCCUACAAACAGUCGGAGCCCGCAAGGGUGACGGCGUACCUUUUGUAUAAUGGGUCAACGACUUAGUGUAACUAGCAAGCUUAAGCCGGUAGGUGUAGGCGCAGCGAAAGCGAGUCUGAAUAGGGCGAUUGAGUUAGUUGCAUUAGACCCGAAACCGAGUGAUCUAGCCAUGAGCAGGCUGAAGGUUGGGUAACACCAACUGGAGGGCCGAACCCAUAACUGUUGCAAUAGUUCGGGAUGACUUGUGGCUAGGGGUGAAAGGCCAAUCAAACUCGGAAAUAGCUGGUUCUCCGCGAAAUCUAUUUAGGUAGAGCGUCGACCGAAUACCCUCGGGGGUAGAGCACUGGAUGGGCUAUGGGGACUCACCGUCUUACUGAUCCUAACCAAACUCCGAAUACCGAGGAGUACUAGUCGGCAGACACACGGCGGGUGCUAACGUCCGUCGUGAAAAGGGCAACAACCCUGACCUCCAGCUAAGGUCCCCAAGUCAUGGCUAAGUGGGAAAGGAUGUGAGGAUCCCAAAACAACCAGGAUGUUGGCUUAGAAGCAGCCAUCAUUUAAAGAAAGCGUAACAGCUCACUGGUCUAAAUAAGGGUCUUUGCGCCGAAAAUGUAACGGGGCUAAAGCCAUGCACCGAAGCUGAGGAUUUGCA